rnacentral:lncRNA from 1 species
AAAACUAGUAUCUCAAUUGUUUGUAAAACAAUUGAAAGGUCUUUCCUGUAAAAGUGAUGUUUUCGUAUUGUACUUUGUACGACCUUUCGUUUGAUAUACGACAAGCAUACCUUCUGAAACUUUUCGCUUUUUACACUUAAUGACCUCAUCCGCCUACAUUUUUGAGAUCGGAAUUAUAAUAUAUGGAACAGAGUAGAUGAGCUUUCAUUUGAUAUGCGACAACGGCAUGUUCUAGAAAGUUUGAUUUUUGCACUUAAUAACCCUAUCCAACUAAUUUUUGGAGGUUGGGAAUUUGAUAUUUCAAAUGUACACAUCAUGACCUUUCAUUUGAUAUACAACAACCCUACCUUAAAAGAACAUUUAUUUUUUGCACUCAAUGACCCCAUCUAACCCAUUUUUGGGAGACGUCAAUUUGAAAUUUGAAAUGUACGCUUUAUGUUCUUUUAUUUGAUAUGCGACAACCUUACCAUCUGAGAAAUUUGAAUGUUUGCACUAAAUGACCCCACCCUUCCCUCUGGGAUGAAAAGGGGGUUUAAAAUUUUCAUUUUUAAGUAGAGUUUAUUAAGACCUUCAAUUUGAUAUAUCAGAUGACCCCAUUUGACAAAGUGCAAAUAAUGAUGCAAUAUCAACUAUAUAAAUAGAAGUUAUGAAACUUACAAAGUCAAUGCAAAACUUGAAAAUUUCAAAUUGAUUUUUUGGUGUUUUUUUCCAUGGAAUGUUUUUGGUAUUUGGUCAAACAUAUAACUGUCAACCUCUUCAAUUUCUAAAACAUUUUAAGUGGUAAGCUCUUGAUGAUUUAGAAAUACAUGCCUCUGCUCGAAAAACUUCAAACUGCAUUAUCUCUAAAACGAC